UUCUUGGGUUCGUAUAUGCAAUUCUCUUUAGUUAUAGUUAUUCUGUGUACUCGUCGGGCUUAUGGGGGUCCGUUCGGGUUUUUAUUUAACUUGCGCACGAGUGUACCUUCUGGGCUUAUGGGGGUCCAGUUAGGUGUAGUUAGCUUAUAGAUUACUUUAGUUAGUUCUUUGUACACUCGUGUGCAUUCCCUUGUUAGUUAGAUUUUAGUUCUUGACUUCGGUUUGUGUUAUUCCUUCUUUUCAUAUUGCCUUUACUUUUCAAGUUCAGUCGGCCUAUGAUGCCUACUGGGUACCUGUUGUUUUGGUACUCAUGCUACGCUCUGCAUCUAUUUCGUGAUGCAGGUCCGGGCACUAGUAGCCAGUGUUGAUCGAGCUUGGAGCAGACUGAUCCGGAGACG
rnacentral:lncRNA from 1 species